rnacentral:lncRNA from 1 species
UUAAUUUGUAGUGUGAGCCACUGUUUAUAUGCAAAGUAUAAAAGAAACACACACUUGUUUAAGGGUGUCUGAGGACGUAUUUACCAUUUGAUCAUUUUUCUCUGAUAUUUGGCUUUACAGAAUUCUAUCUUCUAAAGAUUUUUGGAGAAGAUAUGUUGACUCUAGCAGCUCUUCCUUUUGUUUGGGGACUUGGAGGGAGGGGAAGCAGGCACACAUGGCGAACUCGUGUUUGCUGGAUCACAUGGUGACUGCAGUGACCCCAGCAGUUACUUCCUGUCAUGGUGGGAACUGUCCCUGGAAGCUAGUCAGUUGCAUAGGUGCUAUUUUCUCUGUGAAGCAUUGAGAAGAAAGCUGUUGCUUACUCCCAAUGGCUCUCUGUUCCCUGAUGCUCCGAGGAAUGCAUUGGUGUCUGAGUCCACUCAAAACACUGUUCCCACAGGACUUUUUAACACAGGCUCUUUCCCUCCAUGUGUCCCCCUUUCUCCACAGUUGAAGAAGUCGGAGCUGGGAAGUUUUCAGGUUAGAUGUGCCAGUUAAUGUAAAGAAAGCUAUGUUUGUGGUGCUCCAGUACUUUCCUGUUCUGUUCUUUCUGACCUGUCACCAAAGCUGGCUCUGAGUCUUGUUAGAUGGUGUACUUAAAGUGUUCAUAAGCCAUUUAUGGCCGUGCGCUUGUGAAUUUCCUAUCAGGGUUUGAUCUUAUUUGGUAUAUGUGCAUUUGUGGUCCUAGAGAAUGCCAGCUUAAGUGCACAUCGAUACCCUUGCUAACUAGGUUUUACAUAGCUCACCAUUUCACUGUGGUGCCCACAGAUGCAGCACAUCUGUUACUGGCAGCAUACAUUAGGCCUUGUGUGCGACUCCUUUUUUUUUUUCAGUCAAGAUGGGAAAGAUACAGAACAGAGCCAGUGGAAAUAAUAAAUGCAGUUGUUUAUAUAACAUGAGUGGUUCAGCAGAUGUUAACUGUUGAGUGAUAAAACUGUUAUAAAGCAUCAAUAAUGUAAAAUUAUAAAAUGUUGGAAAUUGUGUUUAUUUGACUAGCUUGGCUCAGUUAUCUUCCCUUAGUUAAGAAAAUGUAAGGGAUUUAUCUAGUGCAGAUAACAGGAUUCUUCCGGUCAUUAAAUGGCUGCAUGUUACUGCCAUACAUGACUUUCUGCAUCUCGUUGGUUCUGACCUAGGCUAUAAAAGAAAUAUGCUUAAGAAAUGGCUAGGUCUAGAAUUUAUCGCCUAUCGAGUGAAAUGACAAAUCACCCAAUUAUUUGGAUUUCCUGUUAGAAUUGGCUCGUUCCUGUGUGCAUCCAUGCAUGUUACACCACAGGGACUCACAUCUGAAUCCGUUUCAACUACUCUACUCCAGAUAGGACCAGAUGGUGAUCACAUAGGAAAAUCCAUAUUCAUGACAUGAACAGUUCAGGCUAUAGAUUUUUGUUUUUCAAAAGUGAUUUUGUAAGCUUUAUUGAAAGUAAAGUUGUAUUGGAGUUGUAUCAUUUCUUAUAUUUAUUUUUCUUUGUAAACGAGUUUGAAAAUGCCUAAAAGUACUGUGACUUCUGAAUUGUCAAUAAAGUAUAAUUAUUUUGCUUGCUAAUAAAUGCCUAUUAAGUUUUCUACUCAUAAGAUUAAAUAGUAUAGGAAAUAUCCUAGCUGAAAAUUGCACAAGCAAAGUAUUUUCUUUAUUAAAGCCUUAAAUUUUAUUUUAUUUAUUGUUAUAUGGCUGCAUGUGUCACGAUGCAUAGAGAGGUCAGAGGCCGACUUUGUGGAGCCGCUUCUCUCCUUCCAUCUUUACGUGGGAUUUUAGGAUUCAACUUAGGUCCUCGGCUUGGGAGGCAAGCUUUAGCCACUGAGACAUAGUGGUAUCCCCUCCUAAUUUUUUGUUAUUUAAGUUUUAUUGCAUUCUUAUUACUGUGUAUGUGUGAGACAGAUGUGUGAAUAUUUUCUUAGUUAACAGUGUGAACAGUCUUUAUGGAUAUUCAGAGCCUCAGAGAUCUAAGAGUAUGAUGAAAAACGAGAGGACACUGAGACCCAUGUGCCCAGUGACAUGCAUCACUCAACUUAGCACAGUGUCAAAGGAGCUAAAAUGUGCUGACCCCAUAAAGGACUCAUAAACGUUGAGAUGAUGGGUGUGUCAGCUCUGUGAUUUGAAAACCAUGAAUUGUAUACGUGUUUUAACACCUCAUAUUGUGUUCCAUAAAUCUGUAGAAUUUGAUGUGCCCUUUGGAAAAGCCUUGAGAUAACUAGGUCAUAUCACUGGAUUUAUAAAAUGGGACAAUGGUUUCAGAAAGCACUAUCACAACCCCUUUCCAAAGGAAACAAAGAUUUUAUAUAUUGACUCUUAGGAAUUCUGAGCCUGUGACAUUGAGACAAGGACAUCUAGAAGUAUGUGAGAAACUUCACCAAGAGAAAAGCUGCAAACAAACCAACAAAAAAAAUAGCAACAAAGCCCUGUGGGGCAGGUGGAGCAUCCUAAGGAGGCUGAGUCAGAAGAUCUGAAACUCCAGGCCAGGGUGGACUACAGAAGAAGACCCUGUCUUGAAAACCAAACCAAUAAACAAAAAUCCCUUGUUC